rnacentral:rRNA from 1 species
GACGUAGGGCGCGAGCGUUGUCCGGAAUUAUUGGGCGUAAAGAGCUCGUAGGCGGUUUGUCACGUCUGCUGUGAAAUCCCGAGGCUUAACCUCGGGCCUGCAGUCGAUACGGGCAGACUAGAGUUCGGUAGGGGAGACUGGAAUUCCUGGUGUAGCGGUGAAAUGCGCAGAUAUCAGGAGGAACACCGGUGGCGAAGGCGGGUCUCUGGGCCGAUACUGACGCUGAGGAGCGAAAGCGUGGGGAGCGAACAGG